GACGAACGCUGGCGGCGUGCUUAACACAUGCAAGUCGAACGGAAAGGCCUUUUCGGAGGUACUCGAGUGGCGGACGGGUGAGUAACACGUGGGUGAUCUGCCCUGCACCCUGGGAUAAGCCUGUGAAACUGGGUCUAAUACCGGAUAGGACCGCACUUUAGUGGGUGUGGUGGAAAGUUUUUUCGGUGUAGGAUGGGCCCGCGGCCUAUCAGCUUGUUGGUGGGGUAAUGGCCUACCAAGGCGGCGACGGGUAGCCGGACUGAGAGGUUGGUCGGCCACAUUGGGACUGAGAUACGGCCCAGACUCCUACGGGAGGCAGCAGUGGGGAAUAUUGCACAAUGGGCGCGAGCCUGAUGCAGCGACGCCGCGUGGGGGAUGACGGCCUUCGGGUUGUAAAAUCCUUUCGCCAGGGACGAAGCGUUUUGUGACGGUACCUGGAGAAGAAGCACCGGCUAACUACGUG
rnacentral:rRNA from 1 species